ACUAGGAUUAGAUACCCUAUUAUUUUAAACUCUUUAGGUAGUAUUUUAUUAUUUAAAAACCUUUGCAAUUUGGCGGCAUUACUUUGUUUUAGAGGAACCUGCCCCCUAAUCGACAAUCCACGUUAAUUUUUACUUUUUAUUAUAUCUUAUAUACCACCAUCUCUAGACUUAAUAAUUAAUAUUAACUCUUUUUAGGUGUCUAAAAAGUUAGGUAAAGGUGUAGACUAUAAAAGAGUUAAGGUGGGUUACUAUAAAUUAAAUUUAAGAAUACAAAAUAAAAAUUUUGGUUGAAAUCGGAUUUAUUAGUAAUUUUUAGAUAAUAUCCCCUUAUGAACUUUUAAACAUGUGCACACAUCGCCCGUCGCUC
rnacentral:rRNA from 1 species